rnacentral:rRNA from 1 species
AUUGAACGCUGGCGGCAGGCUUAACACAUGCAAGUCGAGCGGGGUGAUGGUGCUUGCACUAUCACUUAGCGGCGGACGGGUGAGUAAUGCUUAGGAAUCUGCCUAUUAGUGGGGGACAACAUCUCGAAAGGGAUGCUAAUACCGCAUACGUCCUACGGGAGAAAGCAGGGGAUCCGUUGUGACCUUGCGCUAAUAGAUGAGCCUAAGUCGGAUUAGCUAGUUGGUGGGGUAAAGGCCUACCAAGGCGACGAUCUGUAGCGGGUCUGAGAGGAUGAUCCGCCACACUGGGACUGAGACACGGCCCAGACUCCUACGGGAGGCAGCAGUGGGGAAUAUUGGACAAUGGGGGGAACCCUGAUCCAGCCAUGCCGCGUGUGUGAAGAAGGCCUUAUGGUUGUAAAGCACUUUAAGCGAGGAGGAGGCUCUUUUGGUUAAUACCCAAGAUGAGUGGACGUUACUCGCAGAAUAAGCACCGGCUAACUCUGUGCCAGCCGCCGCGGUAA